UUGUUUGUGCCGGUUGAUUCUGUUCUGUGUACACGCGACGGGCAGAAGAUAAAGGUUUGCGACGACUGAUGGACGAUAGCGAGCAGCGAAACGGUCGGUGGCAAUAAAUGGACAAGCCAACCGAGAAGAAAGAAGAAGAAGAAGAGUUGACCUGCAUUCUUUGAGGUUGACGGGCUGGCCGAGCCCGUCGUCCGCUCCAUGAACGGCGGACAAGUUGGACGACGACAUCGUCGUUUUCUUUUGGCAGCGUUUCGAGUCCAUCAGAGCUAUAAGUAAGUCAUCCGCCACCACCGUUUCUUUCGUCCGAAUACUUUCAACAGUUGACUUUUUUUUUCAAAAUUUCUUUCAAUCAUUUCCCAAAGAAAAGAAUUUAAAUUCCUUUGUGUCGAAACUUAUUUCCCGGGAAAAAUUUUCUUAUGGAGGAGGUUCCAUCACACCUUCCUUCUCAAAGGGGGUUUGGUUUCAGUUUUUUUUUUUAAAUUAUGAUUAAACGUUACGUCAUGACUAAGGAGCUUAUAAUGUUGUUGGGAUGUCAGCAGUUGCUGCUGUUGUUGAGCUCCCGCCUGUUUUUUUUGUUUUUUGUAUUUUUUUUUUCUUAUUAUUAUUAUUAUUAUUAUUUAUUAUUUAAAAAAUAUGACUUCACGUUUGAGGGGAAAAUUCAAAUUGAAAAUUACGCGCGCCUCCAAGUUCGUUGGCAUCGCAGCAUUCCGGCGCCGCUUCUUCUUUUGUUCUGUCUGUGGUUGUCAGGUUGGGAAAUACACUGCCGUCAGUUGGUGGACGACGCCGAAACAUGUCGGCCCGCCCGCUUUGAAAGGAAUAACCAGAAACUACGGGGGUAUAUAUAUAUAUAUCUUUCUUGCCCUGCCGCAGCCUUGGUUCUCUUGCCCUGUGAAACAUCCCAACAAUUCCGAUGAAUUUCGAAUGCUGGAGAGCGGGGCCAAGCUUCCAUUUCGACGUGAAAUGGACAGGCAGGAGCCGGGGCCAGCAGCAGGCGCACGGUAAUGAAACGGGAGGCAAAACUGCUGGCAAAGUGAUUACGCCAUCAGGACAGAACAGCCCGGACCCGCAAGGCGCCAAAAAUCUCUCCACUCUGUACACGCCCAAUAACAACAAAAAGGAAAAAAUAAAUAAAAAUAAAAAUAAAAUGAAUAAAACAAAACAAAAUAAAAGGAAAGCCGAAAGAUAAAUUUUAAAAAAUGGAGUUAAGAUUUUUUUUCACGUUGCCAUACGGCGGGAGCCAAGUGAAAUUACAUAAAACAUCAACAAUAACAAGGCGAACGCGCGUGGUCCACAUUGUUACGAAUGGGCAACAUCAACAACGCAACAAUCCUCGUAAUGAGUUGCGACUCGUCAAGCCACGCCCUCUGACCCCGAACGGCGUCGGUU